CAUACCUUAAUGUUGCCUCGGCGGAUCAGCCCGCGCCCCGUAAAACGGGACGGCCCGCCAGAGGACCCAAACUCUAAUGUUUCUUAUUGUAACUUCUGAGUAAAACAAACAAAUAAAUCAAAACUUUCAACAACGGAUCUCUUGGUUCUGGCAUCGAUGAAGAACGCAGCAAAAUGCGAUAAGUAAUGUGAAUUGCAGAAUUCAGUGAAUCAUCGAAUCUUUGAACGCACAUUGCGCCCGCUGGUAUUCCGGCGGGCAUGCCUGUUCGAGCGUCAUUUCAACCCUCAAGCCCCCGGGUUUGGUGUUGGGGAUCGGCUCUGCCUUACGGCGGUGCCGCCCCCGAAAUACAUUGGCGGUCUCGCUGCAGCCUCCAUUGCGUAGUAGCUAACACCUCGCAACUGGAACGCGGCGCGGCCAUGCCGUAAAACCCCAACUUCUGAAUGUUGACCUCGGAUCAGGUAGGAAUACCCGCUGAACUUAAGCAUAUCAAUAAGCGGAGGA
rnacentral:rRNA from 1 species